AUUAUUAGUUUCUACUCCAUGAAAGGUAAAAAAUUCUGUAUAAAUUCCUUUGAAGUACCUGGAAAUUUUCUGCUGCUUCUUGGAAUGCAGGCAUAACCUUUUCAGAAUUAUUUGUACGGCAAAAAGCCAUAACAUGGACAAAAUUAAAUAAAUAAAUAAAUCAAUAAGCAUGUUAAAGUUAUAGCAGUAAUCAAAAUUUCCUUAUAUCGUGGGAAUAAAGUCUGCUGAGGUUAUGUGCUUUGGUGAGGGAAGAAAUAACUCAAUUGAAUUAAACAAAAAGGAAAUUCGAAUUAAUAGAAAUAAACAGGUAAACUAACAUUAAACAAAUAGGAAAUAAAGUAAAAAUCAAUCAAGAACACUCAAAAUAUAAGAAUUGAAUUCUGCCAAGAGCAAACUCUUUGGAAUUUUCUGGUUUAACUUGGAACAAAGUAAAAAGAAAGGAAAAUGUUUUUAUAGUUUUGAUGUUUAUGA
rnacentral:misc_RNA from 1 species